UUCUUCUCUACUUCAUUAGCAAUAGCACUUCAGUGGUUUCAUCGAAUAGAUAAACAUUGGGUUCCGAUAAUGUCGAUGAAGUUGUAAGAGAAAUUCCAAGGUGCAAUGGCUUUUAUUUUAUGUUUGGGUUUAUCUAACUAUCAGUUUGCUUGUGGAUGGAAUACAUGUAUAUCUUUAUGUGUUUAAAUGCAGUUUUUCAAUUUGAAAUCUCAUUUCUCAUAUCUUCUUUGUCAUGCUCCAUCCUACCCCUUUCCCUGGCUCUGUUUGUCAUCAAACAGCAUGUGAGUAAAUUACAAUCAAACUCAGUUCAAGUUCUCAUAGGUAUCCCCAUAUGUGUCACUCACACACUAUAACAGUAUAACCAUGAUAUCGUCAACAUAAAACAUAGAUAUUUAUAGUUGUUUAAGUCAGAAUGUAUUGGGCAGAGCUGCAAACUAUGGCUUGAUGUGGUAUGACUUCACCUUUUCUUUUCUAUCUCCUUUUUGCCUCCUCCCAACAUUCAACGUUCUCUUUGUGAGAAGGGGGGGUACACCGCGCUUCACCUGGCCUCAAUCCACAGCCACCAGCACAUGGUCCUGGCCUUGAUCAACACUUACAAUGCUAAGACCAACAUCAGAGAUUACCAUGGGAAGAAGCCUGCUUACUACUGGAGUGGGCGUUCAGAUGCCUUCAACAUACCUGGAGCUCAGUCGGUGGCAAGUCCUGAUUGUAAACGUGAAGAGAUGUUUGGGAAGUUGGGCUAUGGAAGACGCUCCCAGCGCUACCCCCUGCCCGCCAUGCUGCUGUCCCGAUCUCGAAGCCAAGGCCAGCUCAGCACGGACUUCACCGCUGCCCCCCAGUCCCCUCGGCUCCAGAUCCUGGACAUCCCAAUGGCCUUUUAAAAAGGGGCUAAUGCCAGGUAAACCAGGCAAGAGAAGACACAGCUAAUGCAGCAUCAAGGUCCGACGUGUGCCAAAUCGGGACGCAAGAUGCUGAAAUGAAAAGAGAUCUCAUCAACCAAAUCCUCCAUCUAAGAUCGCUGAUAAAUUGUAAUCCAAUCCAGAAAACAUUCCGCUCAAUAAGCACCAUGGCUAUCCUACGACACACCCCAGCUAGGGUCGUACCUCGCUGAAAGCAGUGUUGGUAAGAGAUGAUUGAAUGCUUGAUUAGGGACGUACUCCUGCUUCCGUGGGGAUCUCCAGACAGUAACAGCAUACUUACUGCUGAAAAUGAGGAGUAUUAGGCUGUUGCUCCUCCCUGCCAUAUCCCAUUACAGCGUGUUAAACGCUAUGUAGCAGGCGCAACGCGAUUUAUUGUUUUGUCAACCAUGUAGCUUUUUUCAAUGGCUGAAAAUGACUAGCAACUAACGUGAAAUAUAUGGAUAUCUGUGAUAUUGUUAUUGCUCAGAGAUAUAUGAUGUUGGUUUUUUUGACGCAAUGAUGUAACCUUUGGUAAUCUAUUUCUAUCACCAUACCCUAACCAGACAAGCAUUUAAUGUCAAAAACAUUUUUACUUCACGUAUUGCUUACAUGAUUUUUGUGGACCGACUUCAGUAAGAAAAAAACAGAUAGGCCUACACUGUUUCAUCUUUUAAAUGAUGUUAUUUGUUAAUUGAUCUAAAUAUUGAUCUAAUUAAAUAGUACAUACUUUUAACCAUUCCGUUUUUAGAGCAGAUAUAUUUGAAAUCUAGUAGAAGAAUGUUUUUUAUUAUUUUGUUGUAAGAGUUUUACUGUGUACGUGUUUAUUUUUUUUAAAA
rnacentral:lncRNA from 1 species